rnacentral:lncRNA from 1 species
UGCUGGCUGCGCUCCCGGGGCUGCCACGGCCCGACCCCCUCACUCGCACUGCGAGGGCAGCGGCAAAGCACCGUGCGGCCGCGCCUGGCCCCGCUCCUGUGCAUCGCGGCCGGCAACGCACAGCUCCGUGCUGGCGGGGGGCUGAGCCUGCCSGAGCCCCUCAAGCCCCCGCGCAGGGCUGAGCAGCGUCCAGCAUCUCUGCUGCAUCUCUCCAACCCAGACAAGCCCUGCUGCGGCCAUGGGACACCCUGCCAGAGGUGGUCCCGGAGAGCACGAGUGACACCCCGUGGGACCUGCUCCCCUGCCCCAUACCUGUCCGUGGGGCUCCACGGGGCCUCCCGCCCAGCUGCCCAGCACCGAACAACGCUCAGGAACAGUUUCUUUGCAAAAGCCGGAGGGUUAAAGGCCACCUGGGCCAGGCCUGCGCAGGGGACCCAGGAGUGGCCGGAGGAAGGUGGGUUUCCCCAAGAUGUGACCCCAGCAUGGACCCACGAGUGGCAGGAGGAAGGUGGGUUUCCCCAAGAUGUGACCCAGCAUCCUUAGAGCUCUGCCCAGCGUUACUCCCAGGGCCUCUUCUGCACCCCCAUCGCAACGCCUGCACCCCAGUGCCUCCCUUCCUCUCACCUGAGCCUUCCUCCCCCUCAGCUCCCUCAGAUGACCCUUCGUUGYGAUGCUCGUGCUGGUUUCGCGCAACGCGUGCUGCCGGGCCAGCUGGCAGCCUGCACCACGAUAACCUUGAGCUCGCGCUUCAGGGGAGACAUCAGUUUUCACACUUAGAGGAGCUUAAUUAUCUUUGAGCCCUCUGUCCCUUCGUAAACCGAGGGAAACUGGCCAAAAGUUUCCGGGAGGGAAUGGCACUACCAGCUGGAUAGAUAAUGCUGGGGUGAAAGUCGUCUUCUUCUAGGAUGACCAGGAUGUCGCAGUUUGGAGCAAUACACUUCCCAAAAAGACUUCCCUGGGUGCCAAAACUUGAAAGAGAUGGUCAGAGAUGGAGGUGGGAGAAAACCCGUGCCGAGCGACUCGCUGGCUGGUGCUUUCUGCGGGGAGCCAAAGCACUCGCGGACGGCAGCGGGAGCCAGUUCUGGGUCCCGCACUGAUUUUUGAGAAGAUUUGGGUAUGCCACUUCCCCGGCCGGCUGCUAACCAAGGGCCAGCGCUGCCRUGCCGCGGUCCAGCGUUUGCAAACAGCCCUGAGGCCCUCAGCAAGGUGUCCGUGGGUGAAAUAGCUGCCGGCUCGGAGCGCGGCUCCGCGGACCUGCCCCUUCGGAGUGACUAACCUGCUCUCUAUUUCCGCCCGGGAAGGCACGAGACGCGGGGAGAGGAAAUGAUAUCAGCUGUCAAACUGCUGGCGGCAGGUGCCGCAGUCACGGGACCGGC